rnacentral:lncRNA from 1 species
GAGCCGCCAUGAACAACUGGGUUUUGAUUAGAUAAAGUUUAGCCUUCGCUACUUGCUUGUAAACGCGCGUGCUGAUCCAGCCGCCUGUCUUCUUGUUUUCGAAACCCCACUUCAUUAGAGAUUGAGUUUGAAACCUUCAUUUACAUCUGGUAAUUUAGUACUUGUUCUACUUGUUCUUGCUGGUUCUUCGAUUGCUUGCAGGAC